UAUGGCUCAGAUUGAACGCUGGCGGCGUGCUUAACACAUGCAAGUCGCGCGUGAAAGGACUUCGGUCCGAGUAAAGCGGCGCACGGGUGAGUAACGCGUGGAUGAUCUACCCAUGAGUUGGGAAUAACGGCUGGAAACGGUCGCUAAUACCGAAUACGCUCCGAUUUCAUCUUCGGGGGAAAGGUGGCCUCUGCUUGCAAGCUACUGCUCAUGGAUGAGUCCGCGUCCCAUUAGCUAGUUGGUGGGGUAACGGCCCACCAAGGCGACGAUGGGUAGCCGGUCUGAGAGGAUGACCGGCCACACUGGGACUGGAACACGGCCCAGACUCCUACGGGAGGCAGCAGUGGGGAAUAUUGCGCAAUGGGCGAAAGCCUGACGCAGCGACGCCGCGUGAAGGGGAUGAAGGUCCUCGGAUCGUAAACCUCUGUCAGGAGGGAAGAACCGCCACGGUGCUAAUCAGCCGUGGUCUGACGGUACCUCCAAAGGAAGCACCGGCUAACUCCGUGCCAGCCGCAGC
rnacentral:rRNA from 1 species